rnacentral:rRNA from 1 species
CUACGGGCUGCUGCAGUGAGGAAUAUUGCACAAUGGGGGGAACCCUGAUGCAGCAACGCCGCGUGGAGGAUGACGCAUUUCGGUGUGUAAACUCCUUUUAUAUGUCAAGAAAAUGACGGUAGCAUAUGAAUAAGCACCGGCUAACUCCGUGCCAGCAGCCGCGGUAAUACGGAGGGUGCAAGCGUUACUCGGAAUCACUGGGCGUAAAGGACGCGUAGGCGGGUUGGAAAGUCAGGUGUGAAAUCCUACAGCUUAACUGUAGAACUGCACUUGAAACUUCUAAUCUAGAGUAUGGGAGGGGGAGAUGGAAUUCGUGGUGUAGGGGUAACAUCCGUAGAUAUCACUAGGAAUACCUAAAGCGAAGGCGAUCUCCUGGAACAUUACUGACGCUAAGGCGUGAAAGCGUGGGGAGCAAACAGGAUUAGAUACCCCCGUAGUC